CUAGCUGUCUCUGGUCCCGAGGACAACAGGAAUUCUAUCACCAUUGCUCUUGCCGUGGUUGCAGCCAUUCUCUUUAUACUGCUCAUUAUAGGAGCUGUGUGGCACUUUAGAAGUCGGAAUUCUCAACGCAACAACGUCGCACGUCAAUUUAUUUCUUCUACGUCACAUAAUCGAACGGAAGCCGAGCCGGGUGGCUAUGUUAAUGCAGGUCAAACCAAUGAAUAUGAACAACUCGAUGUAUUAAACUCGCCACAGCAUGAUUAUGAUAAAAUAACAGGCGUUUAGAUACAUAUAUAUGACAUACGUUUUCGUUUUGUCCUGUUUUGUUUUGGGGUUGUUGUUGUUUUGUUAUUGUUGUUGUUGUUGUUGCCAAGGAUCGGCCAAAUUGAUGAGAUUAUUCUUUGGCGAGCUCUAGACAACACAAUAUUACUAUAAAAUAUUCAGAGGCUUAUUAGAUAUCAUAUGGUAACGCCAGAUCAAUCAUAUAAGAAAUAUAUGAUUGUGUCCAUUUUUGCCCACAAAAUGGCCAAAAUGGCAAUUUUGUCUUACGAAGGGUCAACAAGACUGCUUAUUUGUGGAAUCAGCACCACUGUGUACAUAAAGUAGGCUUGUCAAACUUUCUUUACUUAAAAUUCUGAUUAAAGUCACAUACUUCUUAGUCUAUAUUUGUGUCCAUACAAUAUAAGUGUCUGUAUAUUAAAUAUGUUACUGAUCGUCCCAGUGUUUGUAUUAGAGUCAAACUUCAUUUUAUGUCCUAAUGAAUUUUGCUUUCCUAAAACGAAAUUAUUUCAGUCAAACUCCUCUAAAUCGGAAACCCUAACCAAGUAAACAGUCUGGUUUUAAGAGGUAUCUGGUUUAGAGAGGCUCUCUUCUGCACAUAUAUUUAAAAAGGGACCAUGAAAUACGUCCAGUUUUGAUGGAAUUCCGGUUUACAGAGGGUCCGGUUUUGUGAGGUUUCACUGUAGUUGAAAACAUCUUACAAUGUCUUGACACCCAAUAGCCGAUGCAGGUUUCGUGCUGAGGUGUUGUUAAACAUUCAUUCAUGCGUUCAUUCCUUACAAUGUCAUUAAACACAGGACAGUCUAUUUAAUACUUAAUCGCGCCUUAGCUCUUUUAUCACAUAUAAACAAGAUAGGGCUUGAGAACAGCCGAGCUACUAAUAUAAUAUCAUUACUGUAAAUACGUGUUCAUGUACCAUUACGUUCCUGGGAGUGACCUACAUGACAGUUGUAAAGAUGGGUUAGGUAGAAUAAAAUGUGUUUUGAAUCA